rnacentral:rRNA from 1 species
CCUACGGGAGGCGCAGUGGGGAAUCUUGCGCAAUGGGCGAAAGCCUGACGCAGCAACGCCGCGUGCGGGAUGACGGCCUUCGGGUUGUAAACCGCUUUCAGUGGGGACGAACCAAGACGGUACCCACAGAAGAAGCCCCGGCCAACUACGUGCCAGCAGCCGCGGUAACACGUAGGGGGCGAGCGUUGUCCGGAUUUAUUGGGCGUAAAGAGCUCGUAGGCGGUUCGAUAAGUCGGGUGUGAAACCUCCAGGCUCAACCUGGAGACGCCACCCGAUACUGUCGUGACUAGAGUCCAGUAGGGGAGCGUGGAAUUCCUGGUGUAGCGGUGAAAUGCGCAGAUAUCAGGAGGAACACCAGUGGCGAAGGCGGCGCUCUGGGCUGGAACUGACGCUGAGGAGCGAAAGCGUGGGGAGCGAACAGGAUUAGAUACCCUGGUAGUCCACGCCGUAAACGUUGGGUACUAGGUNUGGGGUCUUAUCAACGGAUUCCGUGCCGCAGCUACGACAUAAGUACCCGUCCGUCGGGUAGGUACGGCCGGCCGACGGACGUAAACCUAACCAAACUAGAAGUUAGUACGGCGUGAGACGUGCCGACGGACGACGACGAGGGAGUAGG